GACGAACGCUGGCGGCGUGCCUAAUGCAUGCAAGUCGCACGCGGAACCUUCGGGUGCUGGGUGUCGAACGGCUGAGGAACACGUGGGGACAUGUCCGGGACUGGGGGACAACAUUGCGAAAGCGGUGCUAAUCCCGCAUUCGCUCCGGGGAGGAACGCCGAAAGGCGCUCCCGGGUGGCCCUGCGGCCCCUCAGGUUGUUGGUGGGGUAACGGCCCACCAAGCCAAUGACGGGUCGCUGGUCUGUGAGGACGACCAGCCAGACGGGGACUGGGGUACGGCCCAGACUCCUACGGGAGGCAGCAGCAAGGAAUUUUCGGCAAUGGGCGCAAGCCUGACCGAGCAACGCCGCGUGCAGGAAGACGGCCUUCGGGUUGUAAACUGCUUUUGCUAGGGAUGAUAACAGACAGUACCUGGCGAAUCAGCCCCGGCUAACUCGGUG
rnacentral:rRNA from 1 species